rnacentral:sRNA from 1 species
GCUGGGCGUGGUGGUGCACACCUGUAAUCCCAGCAGCUAGUGAGGCUGAGACAGGAGGAUUUCGAGUUCAAAGCCAGCCUCAACAAAAGUGAGGCGCUAAGCAACUCAGUGAGACACUGUCUCUA